rnacentral:rRNA from 1 species
GGGAACCCACCUAGGAUAACCUAGGUAUCUUGUACUGAAUCCAUAGGUGCAAGAGGCGAACCAGGGGAACUGAAACAUCUAAGUACCCUGAGGAAAAGAAAUCAACCGAGAUUCCCUUAGUAGUGGCGAGCGAACGGGGAUUAGCCCUUAAGCUUCAUUGAUUUUAGCGGAACGCUCUGGAAAGUGCGGCCAUAGUGGGUGAUAGCCCCGUACGCGAAAGGAUCUUUGAAGUGAAAUCGAGUAGGACGGAGCACGAGAAACUUUGUCUGAACAUGGGGGGACCAUCCUCCAAGGCUAAAUACUACUGACUGACCGAUAGUGAACCAGUACCGUGAGGGAAAGGCGAAAAGAACCCCGGAGAGGGGAGUGAAAUAGAACCUGAAACCGUAUGCGUACAAGCAGUGGGAGCCUACUUGUUAGGUGACUGCGUACCUUUUGUAUAAUGGGUCAGCGACUUAUAUUCAGUGGCAAGCUUAACCGUAUAGGGUAGGCGUAGCGAAAGCGAGUCUUAAUAGGGCGUUUAGUCGCUGGGUAUAGACCCGAAACCGGGCGAUCUAUCCAUGAGCAGGUUGAAGGUUAGGUAACACUGACUGGAGGACCGAACCCACUCCCGUUGAAAAGGUAGGGGAUGACUUGUGGAUCGGAGUGAAAGGCUAAUCAAGCUCGGAGAUAGCUGGUUCUCCUCGAAAGCUAUUUAGGUAGCGCCUCAUGUAUCACUCUGGGGGGUAGAGCACUGUUUCGGCUAGGGGGUCAUCCCGACUUACCAAACCGAUGCAAACUCCGAAUACCCAGAAGUGCCGAGCAUGGGAGACACACGGCGGGUGCUAACGUCCGUCGUGAAAAGGGAAACAACCCAGACCGCCAGCUAAGGUCCCAAAGUUGUGGUUAAGUGGUAAACGAUGUGGGAAGGCUUAGACAGCUAGGAGGUUGGCUUAGAAGCAGCCACCCUUUAAAGAAAGCGUAAUAGCUCACUAGUCGAGUCGGCCUGCGCGGAAGAUGUAACGGGGCUCAAACCACACACCGAAGCUGCGGGUGUCACGUAAGUGACGCGGUAGAGGAGCGUUCUGUAAGCCUGUGAAGGUGAGUUGAGAAGCUUGCUGGAGGUAUCAGAAGUGCGAAUGCUGACAUGAGUAACGACAAUGGGUGUGAAAAACACCCACGCCGAAAGACCAAGGGUUCCUGCGCAACGUUAAUCGACGCAGGGUUAGUCGGUUCCUAAGGCGAGGCUGAAAAGCGUAGUCGAUGGGAAACAGGUUAAUAUUCCUGUACUUCUGGUUACUGCGAUGGAGGGACGGAGAAGGCUAGGCCAGCUUGGCGUUGGUUGUCCAAGUUUAAGGUGGUAGGCUGAAAUCUUAGGUAAAUCCGGGGUUUCAAGGCCGAGAGCUGAUGACGAGUCGUCUUUUAGAUGACGAAGUGGUUGAUGCCAUGCUUCCAAGAAAAGCUUCUAAGCUUCAGGUAACCAGGAACCGUACCCCAAACCGACACAGGUGGUCGGGUAGAGAAUACCAAGGCGCUUGAGAGAACUCGGGUGAAGGAACUAGGCAAAAUGGCACCGUAACUUCGGGAGAAGGUGCGCCGGCUAGGG